GACGAACGCUGGCGGCGUGCCUAAUACAUGCAAGUUGAGCGCUGAAGGUUGGUACUUGUACCAACUGGAUGAGCAGCGAACGGGUGAGUAACGCGUGGGGAAUCUGCCUUUGAGCGGGGGACAACAUUUGGAAACGAAUGCUAAUACCGCAUAAAAACUUUAAACACAAGUUUUAAGUUUGAAAGAUGCAAUUGCAUCACUCAAAGAUGAUCCCGCGUUGUAUUAGCUAGUUGGUGAGGUAAAGGCUCACCAAGGCGAUGAUACAUAGCCGACCUGAGAGGGUGAUCGGCCACAUUGGGACUGAGACACGGCCCAAACUCCUACGGGAGGCAGCAGGAGGGAAUCUUCGGCGAUGGACGAAAGUCUGACCGAGCAACGCCGCGUGAGUGAAGAAGGUUGUCGGAUCGGAAAACUCUGUUGGUAGAGAAGAACGUUGGUGAGGGUGGAAAGCUCAUCAAGUGACGGUAACUACCCAGAAAGGGACGGCUAACUACGUG
rnacentral:rRNA from 1 species